UUUUUUUUUUGUUUUUUUGAGGGAGAGUUGUUUAUUGGCUGUAUAUUCAUUUGUUUAGUCUGAAACCUGCGCUUCGCCUCGGCCAUCCGUGAAAACAUGAGAUCUUGGCGGAUGUUCAUUUUCCCGUCAAAAGUGAAGGAUAUCACACCUUUCCGGAGAAACUGACACUGUCAUUCCUAUGAAGCGAACGGAUCGAAAUGAAACUUUCCCAUGGGAAACGAUACCUGUACGAUUCCUACGAAAUUCCUUUGAAGCGCACAGGGCCUCACAAGGAUUAACAACUGGACCAACCUCAGUCCACUGAUUAGUUUAGGAAAACACAGCUCUUUAAUUUGUCAUACAGUACAAACAUUAAACAUAUAUUGGUACUUUAUAACCCCCUAUAAAUUCUUUGAAUAAACAAAACAUAAAUUUGAAAAGGCAUUCAUAUAAUCCACGAAUUGAAAGGAAAAUUUCACAAAAAUGAAAAAAGUUCGUGAAUUCAAAAAAAGAUUAUCAAACCUAAAAAAAGUUCAUCGAAUUUGAAAAAAGUUCAUCGAAUUUUAAAAAAUUGUUCAUCAAAUUUAAAAAAAGUUCAUCGAAUUUAUAAAAAAGUUUAUCGAUUUUUAAAAAAAGUUCACAAAUUUAACGAAAAAGUUCACGAAUUUUAAAAACUCGCUCAAUAAGGAAAACAAAAAAACGAGAAAAAAGAAAAAAGAAUAAAUCGAGCUGUAGAACAAAAAAAAUGAACCAUCCAUAAAUUCGUCGGUGGAUAGCCUGGUGGCUAUAGGCGACCGCUUACAACGAUAGGUUGCGAGUUCGGAUCACCAUGGAAUCAUUCUUUUUGGACCUUUCGAUAAUAAGAAAAACAGGAAGGGGAAAGUUAGAAUGGGCCGGCCCAGUUUGAACUGCUGCAGGCAUCCGUUUGCAAGAUUGCACUUUAACGGGCGCCUGCAACGCCAAAUAGGAAAUGCCAUAUUCAACAACAGAUAGAAAUUUGAGGCCACAUGAAAAAUCAUGGCGCACUAUGUGGGGACACAACUAUUCUUAGCUCGGGCUCAAAUGAGCCCGGAUGAAAAGUAAAAUCCAUUUUUUUGAAAACAAAAUAAAAAUUUUGUUGUCCUCCACCUCGCCCAGCUUCUCCUUCGUUCUGACACCGGAUGUGAGAUCAUUGCACGAACCACGGAAUUGCUCUAGGCGGAAGGGGGCCUUUCGAUAAUAAGAAAAACAGGAAGGGAAAAGUUAGAAUGGGCCGGCCCAGUUUGGACUGUUGCAGGCAUCCGUUUGCAAGAUUGCACUUUAACGGGCGCCUGCAGCGCCAAAUAGGCGAUGCCCUAUUCAACAACAGAUAGAAAUUUGAGGCCACAUGAACAAUCAUGGCGCACUAUGUGGGGACACAACUAUUCUUAGCCCGAGCUCAAAUGAGCCCGGAUGAAAAGUAAAAUCCAUUUUUUUGAAAACAAAAUAAAAAUUUUGUUGUCCUUCACCUCGCCCAACUUCUCCUUCGUUCUGACACCGGAUGUGGGAUCAUUGCACGGACCACGGAAUUGCUCUGGGCGGAAGGGGGCUCUCCCUGGAUCAAUACCAACCACACACAUGUCGGUGCCACCUCCUCAUGUCCACCCCAGCAUAUUAUCGCAUCGCCUACCCUCCUUCUCCUCUCCUCUCGUCUCGGGUCCUCGCGUGGUGCGACAACCUCCUCUUGCCUCCCGGGAGAGCUGUUGCAUCACUCGACCUUCUCCCAUGUAAAUACCUUGGGAAGAGAAUAAGGGCGUCGGCUCCACCCAUGCACAUUGUGCCAUAUCAUUUAGAGGGGGGGAGGGGGGAGGGUGUCAAAGAGUUAGAUGGUUAGGAUUGCAGAGGCGACCUGACUUAUAUAAUGUGCAAGUACAUCAGACACAGUCAUUAAUUACAAGUCGUGUGUAAUGUGCCACACAUCGCAAGUGGACAUAAAAAGGAUCGUUUGUGAUGUAGGGUCUCACAAUGCAAAUGAACGUUCUAGGGCAAUAUUGUUCCAUGUGCUACACAUCAGACAAGCACCAUUUCAGUCUAGCACUUCACAAACGGGUCGGCGCGGGCCUUCAUGUAUGGUAGGCAUAUCACACAUAUUUUGGCUCAACCGUGUGCGAUGAAGGGUGUUAAUAUGCAUGUUUGAUCGAGUUACCGGACCGAUGAUGUGACGAGAAUUGUUUCCCGUCUUCUCAAGUCCUAGAUUAGUCCAUUUAAUAACAAUACUUACACCAAAGAGUAGAUUUUGUGCAACCGAUAUUAUCCUGUGAAAUAAUUCAUAAAUGUCAGCAGUGUUAUGUCAUGUCUACUUGCAAAUAUGUAUCCAAAGAUAUGAUCAUUGAUGUCCUAGAUAAAACAAAAAGACAAGAUUCGAAUGAGUGGUGCCAGUUAAAUAACAUGGACAUGAUAUUUUUUUUUUCCUCUAUAGGUCAAAAUAAGUCAUACUUUGCUAGGCAAAUUUUAACAUGGUCCCUCUUACCUCCUCUCUUUACAUGGGAGGCAAGAAGGUAAAAGUUAAUCAGGCCACUAAUUAAUAAGAUCAGCGGCUCAGAUCUAUUUUAUACUCUUACCUCUCAUGCAUAUACACAGACAAGAUGAAUUAGAUCCAUCAAUUGUUUCAUAAUUUCAAAAAUACCAAAAAUGUAAAGAGAAGAGGGCGAAUAUACAUUGUACAAGUAGCUAGUUGCUAGAGCGUUUAGAUCACUACUUUAAUGAUCCGUGAUCUAAACACUCUUAUAUUUCUUUACGGAGGAAGUACUUUCCGGCUGCUCGGUUUGCCCCACAGCAUGUGCGUGACAUCGAACUCAGCGACGUCCUCUCCUCGACUUUGCAUCAUUAUUUAUCUUCUCCACAUUCUCCUGUCGUAGGAACAUGCACGCUGCUAGACAUGAGAGAAACGAAAUGCAUAACCACAACAAACUAGACACCCCCAAACUAUCAGGGCUGUCACUUGAGUUCGACCACGCCAUCGCGGCUCCUGUGGUCAUGCCGGCACACCUGCCGGCAUACAAAAAAGAUGGCCCCUCGACGUCAUAGAUCACUCGUCGUUGAACUUGAGCAUGUCGGCCUGCAUCUUCUCGAACCACGGUCUCUUCCUUGGCGACAAGGCGUUGAGAUCCACCUUCAUGAUCUCCACCCCGGUCAUCAUGCUUGCAAGAGCCACUUCUUUCGCCUUUGUCUUGGCGUUGGCGGCAUCGAUCUCUAGCAUCUUGGCUUGCUUCUCCGCCUCGAGCUCGAACAUCUUGGCUUGCUUCUCGGCGUCAAGAUGAAGCCUCCUCCUUUGGAUCUCCAUGAAAGCAUCCAUUUGCUCCGCCUUGAAACGCCGGCGCUCCUCCUCUCUUGAGCCCUUCUUAUUCAUCAUGCCGUCCACGCUUGCGAUCAAGGCGUUGGUGGCCGCAUCUCGCUUGUCCUCCUUCUUGGAGUUGGUCUUCCCCCGCGGCCGUGCCGGCUCGUCCUCUCCAACAUCCUCCACGGCGCCCUUCCCCCCACGUGCCUUGAGCGCGGCAUAUUGUGCCUUAAACUUCUCUUCGUCCUUGAUGACCCGAUAGCAAUGGGAUAUGUUGAAGCACUUGCCAUUGUGUUGAGGAAUUUGAUUGCAAGAUAUAGAAGAACUCCCCCUGAAGAUGUGCAUAGUGAGGAAUUUGCUUUUGAAGCAAUGCACACUUGAAGAGUUGAAUCAUGGAGAUCUCCCCCUAUAUCUUGUAAUUCAUACACACAUUUGACAUAUCACAAUGAAGAGUUUGAAAUGCAUGAUGAAAUGUGGUGAAAUAUGUAAUUCAGCAUGUACGCAUUAGCAUAUAUGAGGAAUAAGCAUGCAGAAAAACAUAUCAAAAGUAUUAGAGCACCAUCGGGUUUAAGUAUACGACUCGAUCCAAUAAAGUCUCAGAAGAACGAGAGUUGUAACUUAAUAUAAAAAAACGCCCAUAUAGAAAGACCCGCUUGAAGGCUAACUCAAAAUUCUCCCCCUUUGUCAUCAAAUGACCAAAAGGAUCGAAUAUGAGGACUAACGCCCCUGAAGAAUAUCAAGUUGAUGAAGGAGCACCAGCAUUGUUGGGGUCGUUUGUUGUAGUAGGGCCUGCCGCAGUGUCGUCCAAGUCUUCAUUUUCAUCGGUGUCGCGCGAUGAAGAAAAUGAGCUGGCCACCAGAGAAGGAACCUUGACCUUCUUGAAUUUCUUCGGUGGAGGUGCAGACUAGUCAAAAUCUUCCUUGAGACCCAUUUUCUUCAGAUCGUCUUCACCAUAUAGAUGUGACAGAAUGGCCCAGGUGCGACCGAAGACUUCAUGGAGGUAGUAAUGGUUUUUCUUCACUGCAUUGUGUGUAGCAGUCAUGUUGUGAAGAAAUGAACCAAACUGACGCUUAACCCAUUUAUGAUUUCGAUCCACCUUCUCACUACUAGGGAAAACCUUAUACACAAAAAUUUAGCAACAGCGCGGGUUAAAAAGGGUGCUAGUGCUAGAUAGCAGUAGCGGUUCAGAAUAAACCGCGCUGCAGAUACGAUUCUAGCAGUAGCGCGUGUGCCCGUAAAAGCGCUACUACUAAUAUUCCCAUUGCUGAAACGAUGGGCUAUGCAUAGCAGUAGCGGCCUUGCAGGAAGCGCGCUACCGCUAGGGCAUGAGUAGCAGCGCGUUUCCCUGUAACAGCGCUACCGCUAAUGGAAAUAAAAUAAAAUGAAAAACAAAUAGAAAAGUAAAUGAAAAUGAAAGAAACAGAAAAAGGAGAAAGAAAAAAAAUAAAAUGUAAAGCAAAAUAAAUGAAAAAGCGAAAAAACAGAGAAAGGCUUAGCUGUAGCGUGUGUUAGUAAGAGGCGCUGUAGCUAACACAGCUGCAGCGCGUUUCGAGGACCCCCGCUAUAGAAACAGAAAAGGAAAUAAAAAAGAAAGAAACUUACAUAUGUAUAGCAGUAGCGCGUUUUGGAAAAAGCGCUAUAACUACCUUAGCUAUAGCGCGUUCUGCGAAACGCGCUACCGCUAGUUUUGACUUAAACCAAAAACCGCCCCCUCCCGGCCACCACUUGCCCCCCAAAUCUCUCGACCCACCCCGCCGCCGUCUCCCGGAUUCGUCAUCGCCCCACUUCGCCGCCGUCUCCUGCCGAUGUCGACGCCCCCGGAGCCACCAGAGCCGUGCGUCGUCGACGCCAUCGGAGCCACCCCCAACGCCACGAAGCCGCGCGGCCUCAUCAACGCCACCAGAGCCGUCGUCGACGCCACCGGAUCCUCCCUCUCCAGAACUGCCUUCCUCGCCAGAACUGCCUCCCUCGCCGUCACCGGAGACGCCCCUGCCUUCCUCGCCGUCACCGGAGACGCCCCUGCCUCCCUCGCCACCACUGCCUCCCUCGCCACCACCGGAGCCAUCCUCUGUAAGCCCCCACCCCUCCUCUCUCUCUUGCAUAGGUUAGCUAGUUUAAUUAUGUUAAUUAUCUAGGUUAGGGCAAAAAUUUAGUUAGGGCUUUGACAGAGAAGUAGUUAGGUUAACUAGUUUAAUUAGGUUAAUUACCUAGGUUAGUGCAAAAACUUAGUUAGGGCUUUGACAGAGAACUAGUCAGGUUAACUAGUUUGAUUAGGUUAAUUAUCUAGGUUAUUUAGGCAAGUUUUAUUUUAAAGAUGAUCCCUUCCUAGACUUUUAUUGUUGAUUAUAUCUUUUCAUUGAAGUGGUCAUGUUGUUUGUGCCCAAGUGGCUUUGUUGUUUCAAUGAAGCUGAGUGGCCUAUAUAUAUUUUGCCGGAAUGUUGAUUCAUUUCUGUUCCGGCAAAUUUCAGGUUCUCGAUUUGUACACUUUUUAGCAAAGGUCAUGCCGAAAUUUUCUGUGAAUUUCGGCAUGACUUGUGCUACAAACUAGGACAUAUCGAGUGCCCGUGUGAUUUGCCGCACCAGAAAGGAGUCAACGUUCCUGCAAAACAAUAGGCCUUUUUUAUGUCAUUAUUCAUUUUAUUAGGUCUAGAAUUAAUUGACUAGAUUUAAUCAUAGGAAACAUGGCUAGCAACGAUGAAGGACAGGGUUCUGGUGAUUGCGACGACGCCUACCGGGCGGCUGACAAAUUUUUUAGCCUUAUCGAUGAUCAACUGAUGUUAUUGCUGGGCCCACCAGUGGCAUCGAGGACUGAGACCGACACGCAGACCGGUGCUGAGACUGAGACCGGCGCUCAGACUCAGACAGGCAUCGAGACCGGCGCUGAGACUGAGACCGGCGCUGCCUCGGGGAGCGGAGCCGGUGUAGAACCGAAAGCAAAGAGGCAACGGGUUCCUAACAAACUCAGGACUACUAGAGUGGUGGUCACGGAGGUGGACGACGGCAAUUUUGAGCCAACGGCGCCCGAGGAAGCGCGUCGAUGCUACGGCAAUCAAAUAGGCUGCAUCAUACGGACAACCGCCACCAUCAAUGAUGAGAAACUACAGAAGAUAGAAAAUAUGAGGAGCUCCCUCCUAAAGAAGUUUCACCAGAUAUUCUUGUUCCCGGGCCGGAAUGAGAAGGAUUAUAAAGAUCCAGAUGAGGACCCGGCAAUGAAGAAGAUAAACAAACACGCCAUGACCAAGUUUAGCGACGCGUUGGCCGCCUGGAAAAAUCGAGUGAAAGCAAGGAUCAUCGACAAGAAGGAACCCUACUCCGAGAUUGUAAAGGAUAAUCCGAUAAUCACGGAAGAGCAGUUUCAAAUAUUCAAGGAGGCUUGCGAGGCCGAAGAUGCCAAAAAAAGUCUAAGUACAUGAAGGGGCUUCAAGAGAGGAACAUUGGGAGCCACCACCUCGGAAGCCGUGGUUACGGCGGAAAGAGGUCCAAAUGGGCCAAGGAGGACGCGGAAGCAGCGAGUCUGGGCAUCCCAGACCCCUUGGCGGAGUUCACCGUCCCGCACGAGCGUGACGUCCUUAGGACCCGGCACCGUUGGGACCCAGUGAAAAAGGUUUACAAGACAACACCGGUCAUUACGGAGUUCAUGAGACUGCUGGUAAUUUUAGUUUCUGAUCAAUUCGACUGCACACGUUAGUCAUAUUUGUAAACGAUCGUUGUGUCUUUUGCAGAGAGAGCAGCACAGGAUUGCGGCCGAAAGCGACUUGCCGUCUGAGGCAUUGGCCAAGCCCAAGUGGGACACUCCAUUCAACCGGGUGUUGAACAUAUUGAAACAACAACCGGUGGAUACUUGACCGUCGUAUGGACGCGUGCACGGUGUCGGAGAUGGCGCCACGUGGAAGAAGUACUACCGUGAGACCACGGAGGAGAGAAAGGAAAGACGGAGGUUAAAUGAAGAAAACAUCGACAAGAGGGUUGAGAUUGCGGUUGAGAAGAAAUCAAUUGAGACAGUCGCAACAGCGGUAGCUGCCGCAAAACAGGUGGCUUUAGAUAUUUCUACUACCUUGGUUCCGGCCAUUUUCAAUUGGACCAGGCAAAAUCCAAAAAAAGAUGCAGCGGACUUUCCCCUUGCUGACUUCUUGGCGGGGAGCAGCUCGACUAGCGUUGCACCAGCACCUGCAGCUGCACCUGCUCCCACACCGGCUCCUGCACCGGACGUGCUAGGCGGUGCUUCGUCUUUGGCUGAGCUCAACGCCCUCACGGUACCUGUCACACCGGCCCCCUUCAAUAUAAAUGUAUAAUCUCCCGUUUUCGUUGCCUUUCGGAUGUCUCACGUCGCAGACUUUUCUUUGCAGGCCACGAAAUCCCGUGCACCAUACUGUACACCAUCGGUGACCAGAAGGUGGACGUGGGGAAGGCAACGAUAACGGAGCCGAAGGAACCAUUGUUCCAUAGCCGGCUGAUCCCCCCGAACGUCUUCAAGGUUUCCAUGGCCAGUGUGACGAGAAUUUGCCUCCUCCAGUACUACUGGGGGAUGACGACGAGACACCGCGGCGUCUUGGUGAUUGUUGCAAUGCUGGGUGGGUCCUGUUGUGGCCAAAGAGUCUACUUCGUCUGGAGGCGGCCGGGAGCACACCCACGAGCACGCAGCCUCAGCAAGGUAUGAACAUCAACACCCCACCUACCCAAUUAUCGUCGGGUGUCGGGUUGGGUGAUAGUGGACGGGGUAAGGAGGAGGCUCCAUUAGUCGCUGAUGAUGUCGCCAUGGAUGAGGAUGAGGACGACGAUGGCGCUGCUGAACAGUAUGUCUAUACUGGCGCCUCCUCAGGGUUUGAGCGUCAUGAGUCGGUGCCUAAAUUUCCGUCUCAACAUAUUAUGGACGACCUUCCGGUAGUAAAGAAGUUUAGGAAGAGAGCGAGGAAAGGCAAAAAAGCUAUUUCUAUGAUCCAGCCGCCUCAGCAGCCUCGGCUUCAGGACCGUAUAGAUAUCCCCGGUGCGGAUAAAUGGCAUAUUCCCGGUCAACCAAUCCUACCUGCAACAGCGCUACGGGCCAGAUGCGGCGAUCUAAAGAGACUUCAUGACGAUGUGCUACGGGUAGAGAAAGACCUCAUCGCCUCGAAAGAUCCAGGAUACCCACUCUACGUGGUUAACGUUCCGCGGCAAAUGUCGUACGUCGACAGCUUCCCCAUGGAUAAGUUCUUCCGCCGAUUCGAUUACAUAUUCGACAUGUUUCACGUGAAGAAGCUGGAUUUUACGUUUGUCCGCCUUUAUGCCUUGCACAUGAACUACAUCGUCGGGGUUGAGCAGAUAUCUCAUAUCUGUGUCGCCGACCCGUACUACAUGCACGAGGGCUUCUUGGGAGUCUGCGCAAAUCACCGUGAAUACGCGAGGGAUUACAUUGUCAAUUUCAUGCUCGCCAAUAAGGACAAGGAGGCGAUUCUCGUGCCUUAUCAUCCCGUGUAAGUCAUCCGCGCUGCUAUCCUUCCUUCGAUUUCAAUCAUUCAUUUGCACGGUGGAGGCUAAUUAAUUUGAGGACUUAUUUUGCGCAGCGGCGGGCGCGCCGUCCUCAUCAUCCUCUACCCCCGAUUCUCCCACGCUCUUUACUUGGACUCGUCGAAGAACAUUCACAAAAAGGAUUACACCCACAUCAAGGAUGUUCUCGACAGUGCUAUGUUUUACUACCAAGCAAGGGGUGGAGAGGUCAGGGACAAGAAGAGAAGGGGCGGCAGGGUCGCCUUCGGCCAUAAGACCGACUUCUGUUGCAUCCAGCAACCGAACGAUUCUCUUAAUGAUGGAUUCUAUGUCCUACACCACAUGCUGGAGUACAGACGGGAUCACCAGAACCUUCGCAUGUCACCUAGAUCCGGCGAUGCCCAUAUUCUGCAAUGGGCAAAGGACAUAGGAGAUAUCGAGGAUCAUCGACUUCGAGCUGAGUUCUAUAACAUCCAGCGCGAACUUGCCCAAAUCAUCAUGAAAGAGGUCGUCGGAAAAACAGGGAUGUUCUACGGAGAAGGACAAAUGUCGUGGGAAGGCGUCCGAACAUGGAUAGCCUCUCAGCGUCUCGACCUGAAGCCUUUCACUAGGCUCGGGGACUAUCUCCCUGACUUGGAAGGAUGGAACGACAUGUUGGAGUGAUUGUCGAUAUAUGACAAUGUGUCCGUUUAGUCCAUACUUUCUGUAUGACAAAACUUUGAGUUAUGCACGGUGAAACUUUAUUUGUGAUGUAAUUAAACCGUCCUCCUCCUCGACUAGCGAAAAACACUCUAGUUAGGGCAUUUUGGGGUACGAUGAACUUUGUUAUUUAUGCUUAUGAUAUGUUGUUUUUAUUUUUGCCAAGUCUGUCUCUUUCUGUUGCUCAACUAUAUAUGUUGCAUAUCAUCGACUCAUGUGAUGAUGCAGGUGCAUAGAUCAUAGAUGGCGAAGAAGUGCUAUGCCAGGAGUAUAUAUACGACAAGUGGCCGGAGUGUCAGGCCCUUCUGGUUUCCGAGCGACAGGCAGUAGUUAGUUUAGAGGUUCAUGCUAAUGCGAAAGAGGGAUACGAACUCAUGUUCUCAAAGUGAUAGCUCUUCUCGCGUAUAUCAUUGUUUAGAUGGAUGACGAUGUAUUUGCAUAUCAUUCGAGACUUGUAUCGCUAUUUUCGAGAUGAUGACGAGAGACCACUUUGUGUUGGAUGAUGAUUAUGAUGAUGACAUGAUUUGAUGAGACUAAUUAUAUGUAUAUGCUAUGAUUACAUUUGUAUGUGUAUGAUAUGCUAAAGAUUAUUGUAUAAAGCCUAUUCAAAUACAAAACAAAUAUAAAACAGAUACGCAGGAAAAAAACUAAUAAUUAAACUAGUAGUAGCGAGGGAGGAAAUUUAGCAGUAGCGCCGCAUUGUCAGUAGCGCGUCCCAGCAAACAGCGUUGCAGAUAAUAUCAGUAGCGCCCUUUCCCAAAGAGCGCUACAGCUAUUCAUGUAUAGCAGUAGCGUGGGACUACCGGCGCUACUGCUAUACGUUAGCUGUAGCGCCUUAUUAGUAGCGCCGGUGCCCGCGCUACUGAGAGGCCCAAAACCCUCGCUGCUGGUAGGCUUUUCCCUAGUAGUGCAUAGUCGUCCGGGAACUCGUGGUCGAGGGGGAAGCCGUCCAGGUCGAUGCCGACCCGAUCACACAUGAAGGCCGCCUGAUCGGGAUCAUAGCCAGCGGCCGGCGUGAACGCCCCACGGCCGUCCUGGCUUUGCGUCUCCUCGGGAUCGUAGCCAGCGCCCGGCGUACCACCCUCGAAGAUGAGGUGUUGCAUGUAGUCCUCGUCGAUGGCGGACGACAUUUCCUCGAACAGGUUAUGGGCGUCCGGGAGACCGCCGGCCGGCGCCUGUCGCGCGCGUUUCCUCGUGUCGCCGGACGACGAGCCACCAACCACCGGGGUGGCGUUGAGGUCAAUGGGCGCGGGCGCGGGCGUGGAAGGCGCGACCGGGUUGCAAGCCGAUGCGCGGGGUGAGCACUCCCCAGAGAGGCGGGAGGCCUGCGGGUAGACGUGGAAGCCGGGGACCGGGUUGCAAGCCGAUGCGCGGGGUGAGUCGGGCAUCACCAUCCGAGGAAACACCGACGAGCCGGUGCUGGCCGCGGCGACGGUGGCUUGGACGAGGCCGUGCUGGCUAGGGUUUACCCCAAGCAUGUAGAGCGCCUCCCUCGUUGCCGCGGCAACGCGGGCGUUGGUGAAUUCCUACUGCGCGGCGGCGACAACGGGGGCCUGCGCAGCGUCCUCAUCCCUCGCGUCCGCGGCGUGCCUCCGGCCCUUCCUCUUGGCCGGCUCCCUUGCCCGCUGUUCGGGCGUCAGCGCCUUCUUCGGCUUGGCCGCCGUGGCGGUCUUGCACGGGGCACGAGGCUUGCCUUUCCUGGAGGGGGCGACAGUGCCGGACGAGGCGAGGGAGGCGAGGCCGGCGGCGGCGUCGAGGUCGAUGGCGUCCUCCAUGGCUGGUUGGGGGCGGGGGGGCGCGCGGGCAGGAGCGUUUUUGAGGGAAAUGGGGUGAAAUGGUGGUGGCUGCCACCGACAGGCGGGCCCGGGGAGAGGAGUAGGCGCGCUCGCGUCCAUCUCGUGUCCGCGCCGAUGCAAUCCGACUCAAAAUUGGGCCUGGAAUGGGUCGCCCACGGACGAAAAACGGACGCGCGUCCGUUUGGGUCGGCGCGUUGGGCCGCCAUUUUUGUCCGCGCCGACCCAAACGGAUGCGGGCGGACGAAAUGAGUCGCCCCAUUGGAGUUGCUCUAACCUACAAUGAAAAGAAACUUCUUUUUUGUCAACUUUUUUAUUCUUAGUUGGUCAAAGUUCCAACACAGAGCAGUCACCCGAACCGAGACAUGAGAAAUAAACACCUUGUGUAUCCUCAACCCAAUUUCCAAACAUAUUGUGUACACGCAAAGUCAUUUUGAGCGUUUUCCGUGAUGUGCCGGUAGAUCUAGGGCCAUCCACUUGUUCUUAGAUUUGUAAAAAUGUAUGACCCACCUAAUUGUAUAGCACCGUAUAUUUUUUUGUAUCUUUAUUUUUAGUUAAAACAGUGGCAGCAUAAUGGACUCCAAAAUACACCUUUUGUCAGGGACAGUACCCAUGCAAGUUUCUCCUCCCACUCUACAUGCGGAACAAAUCCAUAGACUUUAUUUCCUAUUAGAGAAUUUAAGUCAACCAUAUCUUUUAAACUAUAGACUUGUUUUUGAAACUUUUUAUAUAUUUGAGCUCCUGGCGUCAAGAACUUUUAAACUAGACCAAUUUUGGUUACAUUUCAAACACAUUUAAUUUUCGAUGUUUCACAUUUCAUAUGUGAAAUAAACACAUUUCACUAUAAAAAUCUGAAACAAACCUAUUUCACUAGAAAUAUGUGAAAAUAACACUUUUCACAUAAACCUAUUAAACUCAAAUGACACCUUGAGAAACUAAUUAUUUGGAAGUAUGUAACAUUUUUAUUUCAAAAGAGCAAAAAUAAGUUAUUUCAUAAGUUAUUUUUCAUAACUUUUUUUUGAAAUGUGUAACAAUUUAUUUCAAAAAAGUGAAAAUCAUCUUUUUAAAAAAUGUGCAAUGGAAAUAUAUGUGUUUCUAUGAAACAAGUCAGUGGAAAGUGAAAUGUAUGUUCUGAAAGUGAAAAAUUAUAUGAAACCGAAAAGUUAACUUGUGAAACUCAUUACUUCCAAUGUGUAACAGUUUAUUUCAGAAGAGUGAAACAUGUUAUUUCAAACAUGUGCAAUUGAAAUGCAUGUGUUUUUUGUGAAACAAGCCCGUGGAAAGUGAAUUUCAUGUUCUGAAAGUGAAAACAAUACAAAACUAAAAUGUUAAUUUGUGAAACCAAUUAUUUCAAAAUAUCCAACAGUUUAUUUCAAGAGUGUCAACUUGUGAAACCGAUUAUAUGAACUGAAAUGUCAACUUGUGAAACGGUCAUUUCCAAAUGUGCGAUUGAAAUAGAUGUGAUUUAUCUGAAACAAGUCGGUGAAAAGUGAAAUGUAAGUUCUGAAUGUGAAAAACAACACAAAACUGAAAUGUGAAUUUGUGAACUGAUUGAAACCAUUUUAUUCAUAAGGUUUUAAUCGGGUGAAAUAUGUGAAAUGUGUCUCAUGAAUUUUAACUUAUUUGAAAUGUAUCCAAAAUCGGUCUUGUUUUAAAAAUCUUUGCGACAUGAUUUCAAAUAUAUAAAAAGUUUUCAAAUUGGAAGUUUGGUUUAAGAGAUACGAAUGAUUUUAAGUUAGCAAAUGUGAACUAAAUGUAUGCAUUAGUUUGAGAGAGAAAGAAAGAGGGAAUGGAUAGCACAUGCAUGCAAGACGCUAUGUCAUGUGACCAAAAACUGACUUUGAUGGGACCUGUGUAUCCUGUUUGAAUGUUGUAUAGCUAUAUAUUCCUGAGAACAAAAUGCUUUGUUUUUUAUACUACACAGUGCUGCAUCAAUAUUUAAAACACAAUGGACGGCCCUGCCGGUACAAGACGGAACCGCGCAAUUUUCGGCUUCGAUUGUGUACACCAUGCAAUGGAUUAUACAAAUUUGAGGGCACAUGACCGAUCAUAGUUUUAAAUAGGAUGCUAUGUCCACGCUAUAACGUUUUAAAUAGCGCAAUUUAGCACGCUAACACUUUAGCCGUGACAUAUCCCACUAUUUAAAACUCUAUGAACAGUAGUCUACUGUAAGUGCAUCUAGUGCCCCUUAGUGAUUUUGGUGUAUUGAAGACUUAUAGGUUAAGGGACUGAUACGUUUGUGAGUGUACACAAGUCUGUAAGUUUAUGAGGAGUUCGAUAUUUACCGAGAAAGUCGACCCCUAAAAAUGAAGUUCUUUGACUGAAGACUUUCUGAAGACUUUGAAAGUGAAAAAAUUGGUGUGACCUUGAAGACUUGGUAUUCAUUCGAGAAAUAUGAAGCAUGAAGACAUUUGUUUUCUUAGCUUCAUUUUCUCUUUCUUGAGUCAUAGGUAAGGAUGGCAAUGGAUCGGGUUCGGCCCGGGUUGAACAAUAUCAAAUCCAUAUCCGAAUCCACGAGGAUGUUCUUUGCCCAUCCAUGAAAAUAUCCAUGGGCAGAAAAUUGUGUCCAUGUCCAAACCCGCUGGAUAUCCAUAACCGAUGGAUAUCCAUCGGGUCCUAUCAACACACAUAUGUAUAAUAUCUUGAAGGAUCACAUAACAUUGCACAACAUUCGCAUAAAGUUAGAUUCUCGCAAGAUGGCAUUGCACAGCUUCACAACAUUAAAUAACUUUUCAAAUGCUCACAAAAUGACAUUGGAGAAGUGCACCACAUGAAAUAAGCUCUCAGAUUAUCAUGGAAUGACAUAGCUAAACAUCAAAUAAGUAUAAGUACAAAAUUCCAGCCUUAGUUCGUCACAGAAUGGCAUAGGAAUAGUAACAUAAACUCUCAGCCUUGGUUUAUUACAAAAUGACAUAGGAAUAGCCCAACAUAAUUCUAAGUCUUAGUUCCUUACAGCCAAGAGACAUAAGUACAUCACUGUUCUCAUUACAAAUGAAGGAAGGUAUUCUUCUAGCCAAC
rnacentral:lncRNA from 1 species